UACAGAGGGGGCAAGCGUUAUUCGGAAUUAUUGGGCGUAAAGAGCGUGUAGGCGGCUCGAUAAGUCUGCUGUGAAAGUCCAGGGCUCAACCCUGGAAGGCCGGUGGAAACUGUCGGGCUAGAGUCCGGAAGAGGCGAGUGGAAUUCCCGGUGUAGCGGUGAAAUGCGCAGAUAUCGGGAGGAACACCAAUGGCGAAGGCAGCUCGCUGGGACGGUACUGACGCUGAGACGCGAAAGCGUGGGGAGCAAACAGG
rnacentral:rRNA from 1 species